GAUGAAGAACGUAGCGAAAUGCGAUAAGUAAUGUGAAUUGCAGAAUUCAGUGAAUCAUCGAAUCUUUGAACGCACCUUGCGCCCUUUGGCUAUUCCGAAGGGCAUGCCUGUUUGAGUAUCAUGAACACCUCAACUCUCAUGGUUUGCCAUGAUGAGCUUGGACUUUGGGGGUCUUGCCGGCCUAUGGGUCGGCUCCUCUCAAAUUAAUCAGCUUGCCAGUGUUUGGUGGCAUCACAGGUGUGAUAACUAUCUACGCUUGUGGUUUUCCAUCAGGUAACCUUCAGUGAUGGAGGUUCGCUGGGGCUCAUAAAUGGCUCUCAUCAGUGAGGACAGCUUUUUUGAACGUUUGAUCUCAAAUCAGGUAGGACUACCCGCUGAACUUAAGCAUAUCAAUAAGCGGAGGA
rnacentral:misc_RNA from 1 species